UUUUUAUGGAGAGUUUGAUCCUGGCUCAGGAUGAACGCUGGCGGCGUGCCUAAUACAUGCAAGUCGAGCGAACAGACGAGGAGCUUGCUCCUCUGACGUUAGCGGCGGACGGGUGAGUAACACGUGGAUAACCUACCUAUAAGACUGGGAUAACUUCGGGAAACCGGAGCUAAUACCGGAUAAUAUAUUGAACCGCAUGGUUCAAUAGUGAAAGUCGGUUUUGCUGUCACUUAUAGAUGGAUCCGCGCCGCAUUAGCUAGUUGGUAAGGUAACGGCUUACCAAGGCAACGAUGCGUAGCCGACCUGAGA
rnacentral:rRNA from 1 species